rnacentral:rRNA from 1 species
CCUACGGGAGGCUGCAGUGAGGAAUAUUGGUCAAUGGGCGCUAGCCUGAACCAGCCAAGUAGCGUGAAGGAUGACUGCCCUAUGGGUUGUAAACUUCUUUUAUAUGGGAAUAAAGUGCAGUACGUAUACUGCUUUGCAUGUACCUUAUGAAUAAGGAUCGGCUAACUCCGUGCCAGCAGCCGCGGUAAUACGGAGGGUCCGAGCGUUAUCCGUAUUUAUUGUGUUUAAAGGGAGCGUAGGCGGGUUGUUCAGUCAGUUGUGAAAGUUUGCGGCUCAACCGGAAAAUUGCAGUUGAUACUGGCAGCCUUGAGUACAGUAGAGGUAGGCGGAAUUCGUGGUGUAGCGGUGAAAUGCUUAGAUAUCACGAAGAACUCCGAUUGCGAAGGCAGCAUGCUGGACUGUAACUGACGCUGAUGCUCGAAAGUGUGGGUAUCAAACAGGAUUAGAUACCCCUGUAGUC